rnacentral:rRNA from 1 species
GGGGGCCCGCAAGCGGUGGAGCAUGUGGUUCAAUUCGACGCAACGCGAAGAACCUUACCUGGGCUCGAAGCGCAGUGGACCGGGGUAGAAAUAUCCCUUCCCCUUAAAAGGCUGCUGCGUAGGUGCUGCAUGGCUGUCGUCAGCUCGUGUCGUGAGAUGUUGGGUUAAGUCCCGCAACGAGCGCAACCCUUAUCCCUAGUUGCCAUCGGGUCAAGCCGGGCACUCUAGUGAAACCGCGCGGGAUAACCGCGAGGAAGGUGGGGAUGACGUCAAGUCCUCAUGGCCUUUAUGUCCAGGGCUACACACGUGCUACAAUGGCUGGUACAAACCGUCGCAAACCCGUGAGGGGGGGCUAAUCGGAAAAAGCCGGCCUCAGUUCGGAUUGGAGUCUGCAACUCGACUCCAUGAAGCUGGAAUCGCUAGUAAUCGCGGAUCAGAACGCCGCGGUGAAUACGUUCCCGGGCCUUGUACACACC